AUACGGAGGGUGCAAGCGUUACUCGGAAUCACUGGGCGUAAAGCGCGCGCAGGCGGCCAUUUAAGUUGGAUGUGAAAGCCUACGGCUCAACCGUAGAACUGCAUCCAAAACUAUUUGGCUAGAGUGUGGGAGAGGAAGAUGGAAUUAGUUGUGUAGGGGUAAAAUCCGUAGAGAUAACUAGGAAUACCAAAAGCGAAGGCAAUCUUCUGGAACAUUGCUGACGCUGAGGCGCGAAAGCGUGGGGAGCAAACAGGAUUAGAAACCCUGGUAGUCC
rnacentral:rRNA from 1 species